rnacentral:lncRNA from 1 species
UACUUUUGCAGAUGUGAUGUAUUUAGAACCUUUAGAAUGUAAUCCUAUGUUUUACUUUUGAAUUGUAAAUUAAGUUUGAAUUGUUGGUUGGAAAUGGAACUUUUAUGUUAAUUUCGAGGCUUGAAAAGCUAUUUCAAGAACGUUAGUGAGUGAGUCCUGGCGAGAGUUGGGUAGGCGGUCCGCCAAACCCUUAGGUACGCCCUAGAGGGAGGUGGGGUCGUCACAAUGGGGAAAUGGGAGAAACUGAUGGAGGGAGAGGAGGAAGAAAUCAGCAUCAAAAUUAGAAGGUUAAAGGAAAAUUGCAAAAGACAUUAGCAUCUAGAAGAAAGUUGUCUAAUAUCAACAUUAGCAAGAAUACUAGAUAACUUCAAUAACAGACUCAUUGAGUCCACUAUUCUCGAUUUUUCACAUUCAACAUUGAUUUGUUAAUCAUGAUCAGUUAGGGGAAACAAUCAAACACCUCUUAUGCUUUAAAACUCGAUACUUCAACUAUCAAAAGCAGAAUUAGAGACAAAGUCCAGCUUCGGACAAUAGAAAAUGGAGCAGAUCUGCAACUACUUUGUCUCAUGAAAAAUUAAACAAAAGCUCGGUGUUGUAUUAGUCUUUUUUCCUAGUUCUUAACUUCAUUGGAAUUCUAUGGAAUACUUCAACAUGAGGGCACGAGUUUCCCUUUAUCAUUUAGUUAUACUAUCAGGAAAACAAAACACAAAAAAGAAAAGAGAAGACAUAAAUAAAAAAAGGUAACCACGUAAUAGGUAAACUUAAAUGAUAAAAGAGAAACAAAAAACCUGAGAAAAACAACAUACCUUCAAUCAUUUAUCCUCCAUUUCUUGAAGACAUAAUAAUAGUGAUAACGAGAUUAAAAAAACAGACUUGAUAACAAAUCUCCCAAAACAAAAACAGCCACAGAGCACAAAAAAUUUGAAACAUAAGCCAUUGCACAUACCCACAAGGCUCAAUGCUGAAAAUGUUGCAUCUUUUUUCCUUCUUACUUUAUCCGACAUACACCUUGAAUUAGGAAAUGUUGACCAGAUCAAAUUUAUUAGUAAGACUUUGAAAAACUCCAAGGAAAAAAAAAACUCCAAAAUUAACUCAUUUUGAAGAAAAAAAACACACAGAAAGACUUCAAAAAUACUCUAAGGAAAAGAAAAAUAGAGGUUUCAUUUUUGGAUCGAAAAAAAAAUAGAGAGACCCUACAAGUCUUUACCUUGAGAAAAGAAUCUCCACGAUUCUUCGUGCUUGCUGAUAGUCUUGAUCUCUCAACCUGUAGCAAAUGCAUGAAACUUAAUAGAGAAUAAAAGAAAAUUUAAUCAAGGGGCAAAAAAAGCAUACACAAAAUUAAAAUGGAGAAAGCAACGGACUUGAGAGACAAACAAAAAACAAAAAAGAGAGAGAGAUGGAGAGAAGAAUAUUUGACUUAUGCUGAAAAAAGAAGAGAGGGGAAAAUGUGCAGAGGAAGAAGAUUGAUUGAUUGAGAAGAGGACAAAGGGGACAGGAGGACAUCUGGACACUGCAAUGGGUAGAGUUGGUGGAGUAGUUCCUGAUUUUUAAUGAAGACCUCAAGACUAGUGCAGUACCCAACU